AGAAUACAGAAUACAGAGUACAGCGCAGAAUACAGGCUACUUCUCCCAGAAUCCUCCCAGCGUCAUUGCACUUGCCAGGUUUACUAAUCACCAGUAUGUUGUUGUUUUUUUUCCAGCAAUACUAUUGAAAGGCUACAUCAUGUUUCAUAUGUGUUUAUUUUUCAAAUAGAUAUAUUAAAGUUACUGUGAGUGGAUUUUGUUCUCACUCAAAGUAAGUUUUAAGCAGUAUCUUCAAAUCGCAUGAGUUUAAUGACACAAGCACUGUUUAAAGUAAGAGUGUUUUAUAUACUUUAAGAAGCACACUGACAUAAAAUAAAUCAAUGUAUAGUAUCAGUUUAUAGAGAGGGGCGAGAAAAGGCAGUAGAUUAGCUGCCAACAAGAAAUACCUAAAUUCUGGUGAAAAACUGCAUACAAGCUAAUAAUAGAUUUUUGUAGACGUGUAAACAUAAAUAAACAUAAAACAUUUGUCGACUGGGUAAAAUAUAAUAAAUCAAAUAAUAAUAAAAUCAGUUCACACUGCCGUCCACAUUUCACUCCAUAGUUAAAGCAUGGUGAAAUAAACGAUGGGCAUACACGUACUUGUGCAGGAUUUUAGCCUUUCCGUUAGGCGCGUGGGCCUGUGCACUGAACAAGGAUUGCUUCCGGUCGCGAGACCGACUUUCACGCCAGACCCUAAACACACCUGUGCUCACGAACGUGCGGUUGUUCUGAACACGGACACGUCUAAACACACCUGGCUGGUGCCUGUUCUGAACACUGGCGCGUUUAAACACACCGGACCGGUGCUGGACUUCGCAGUCGUCGGAAAAAAAUAUUUUAUUGUUCGCUGCUGGAGCAUAAAUAGUCUAAAGGAAAACGAAAUGUACUAAUUACGUGUGUCCUCGAGGACUAAACAACGUGGCGCCAAAACUGAAGCACUCAUCCAAACAUGUUGACCUCCGGGAAGUAGUUAAGCACCAAAACACGCCUUACUCCUGUUAUUCCAGUCAAGUGACAUGGCGUAGGCAUGGAGGCUUGAAGCCGCUCCCAAGUUUGGAGGGGAGAAAAUGACACAAGCUGAAUCCUGUGGGAGGAUGUGAGUUCCAGGUCUUUUUGAGGGAUGCUCUCUGUUCAGUCCUACUGUCCAGAGAACUGGAGAAGGUUCUAGACUCGACAAGGUCAGGAGUGCGCUCUGAGCUGCAGAGUGAAAUGGUGGAGCUGGGAAUGUCACAUUUUGGGAAGGCAGGGGCCUGGAUUAGGGGGGCGUGGACGCUGCGCUUCCCAGGCGAGGGCUGAGGCCUGAGAGCGGAGGCGGCGUUCGUAGCUCCCUGUCUUCCCUGCUGCAGAUGAAGCUUCUCUGCUGUUUUUUUUCCAGCGUGAUCCAUACGCAAGACAUCUCAGCCUCACUCGCUUUAAUUAGCCAGGAAAGGCUGUGUUUUGUCAGCAUCAAGUGGAGUCAUUCAAAACCUUAACACUGCCAGAAGGGGGGGAGGCUGGGAGAGCAGGGGGGGGGGUGUUCAGGGCACAUCUGAGAGGAGGAGGUGAGCAAAGAAAACAAAAUAAGUGAGGUCCAGACUAAACAGUGUCGGGGUCUGGGCCUGGCUGUGGAC